CACAUAUAAACACGGUCCUACACAAAUACUUGAUGAUUAAAUUAGACUUUCUACAUCUGACCCUCUAAGAUUGUAGCGCUAAGAUUAUAGGUCUUAUCAAGAAGAAGCAGGCCUGCCUUUUCUGAUCAUACAGUUGGAUAUGGAUUCCAAAGACCAUAGUUACUCUAACAGCCAUCAGAUCUCAUAUGUACCAUGAGGGUUACCUGCCUGAACCAGUAGAAAACCUGAGACUUAGAAACACAAGAGAGAUGAGGGACGCUAGAGAGAUACAUGUUAUUUUGAGCAUGACAAACCAACCGCAUUACAUCAGGUCUCUCAAUGCUGUUGCUGCCACUUUAAUAUGAUCGUAUGUUUAUAUCUGUGGUAAAUUUUAAUCCUGGCUUGACAUACUGGCUUAAGGCAAACAGAGUUAAAAAGAUAAAAUCUGUUGGGGGAAAAAGUAAUUCAUUCCAAAGCCUAGUGUGGAUGUUUCCUGGAUGAUGCUUUCUGUCUUGUGUUCUCUACAUUCCCGUCCAUUUGCAUAAAUAAUUGAGUGUAGAUUGUAGGCAGAAACCACUAAAACAAAAAAGCUUCUGAAGCUUUAAAUGAAAAUAGUCAUGGUCCAAAAAGUCAGAUUAAUAAGAGGUUCUUUCCUACCAUUUCUUCCCACCAAUGUUUUUGCAUACAAGAAUGACCGCAACAUUCAUAUUUUCUAGAGACUAAAUUUACGCAAAGAGCAGUCCUGAGCUUAAAACAACCCUUUCAUCAGACAACCAGAAUGUUAAUUCUAAAGAUCCCCUGGCCAGAUAUCCUUUACCUGUCUGCUUCCCGGAACAAAUCACGCUCCCUCUGAGAGUGGAUGUCUUGGAUGAUGGCUGCAACAUUUUUCCCAGGUUUCUAGGCAAAAAAAAAAAAAAAAAAAAAAAAAA